rnacentral:rRNA from 1 species
AUUGAACGCUGGCGGCAUGCUUUACACAUGCAAGUCGAACGGCAGCGCGGUCUUCGGCUUGGCGGCGAGUGGCGAACGGGUGAGUAAUACAUCGGAACGUGCCUAGUUGUGGGGGAUAGCUCGGCGAAAGCCGGAUUAAUACUGCAUACGACCUGAGGGUGAAAGCGGGGGAGCUUCGGACCUUGCGCUCUUGGAGCGGCCGAUGGCCGAUUAGCUAGUUGGUGGGGUAAAGGCCUACCAAGCCGACGAUCUGUAGCUGGUCUGAGAGGACGACCAGCCACACUGGGACUGAGACACGGCCCAGACUCCUACGGGAGGCAGCAGUGGGGAAUUUUGGACAAUGGGCGAAAGCCUGAUCCAGCAAUGCCGCGUGUGUGAUGAAGGCCUUCGGGUUGUAAAGCACUUUUGGCGGGAACGAAAAGGACUGUGCCAAUACCACGGUUCGAUGACGGUACCCGCAGAAUAAGCACCGGCUAACUACGUG